rnacentral:rRNA from 1 species
UGUUUCGGCUAGGGGGCCAUCCCGGCUUACCAACCCGAUGCAAACUGCGAAUACCGGAGAAUGUUAUCACGGGAGACACACGGCGGGUGCUAACGUCCGUCGUGAAGAGGGAAACAACCCAGACCGCCAGCUAAGGUCCCAAAGUCAUGGUUAAGUGGGAAACGAUGUGGGAAGGCCCAGACAGCCAGGAUGUUGGCUUAGAAGCAGCCAUCAUUUAAAGAAAGCGUAAUAGCUCACUGGUCGAGUCGGCCUGCGCGGAAGAUGUAACGGGGCUAAACCAUGCACCGAAGCUGCGGCAGCGACACUGUGUGUUGUUGGGUAGGGGAGCGUUCUGUAAGCCUGUGAAGGUGUGUCGUGAGGCAUGCUGGAGGUAUCAGAAGUGCGAAUGCUGACAUAAGUAACGAUAAAGCGGGUGAAAAGCCCGCUCGCCGGAAGACCAAGGGUUCCUGUCCAACGUUAAUCGGGGCAGGGUGAGUCGACCCCUAAGGCGAGGCCGAAAGGCGUAGUCGAUGGGAAACAGGUUAAUAUUCCUGUACUUGGUGUUACUGCGAAGGGGGGACGGAGAAGGCUAUGUUGGCCGGGCGACGGUUGUCCCGGUUUAAGCGUGUAGGCUGGUUUUCCAGGCAAAUCCGGAAAAUCAAGGCUGAGGCGUGAUGACGAGGCACUACGGUGCUGAAGCAACAAAUGCCCUGCUUCCAGGAAAAGCCUCUAAGCAUCAGGUAACAUCAAAUCGUACCCCAAACCGACACAGGUGGUCAGGUAGAGAAUACCAAGGCGCUUGAGAGAACUCGGGUGAAGGAACUAGGCAAAAUGGUGCCGUAACUUCGGGAGAAGGCACGCUGACACGUAGGUGAAGUGAUUUACUCA